CCUACGGGAGGCAGCAGUGGGGAAUAUUGCACAAUGGGGGAAACCCUGAUGCAGCGACGCCGCGUGAGUGAAGAAGUAUUUCGGUAUGUAAAGCUCUAUCAGCAGGGAAGAAAAUGACGGUACCUGAUUAAGAAGCCCCGGCUAACUACGUGCCAGCAGCCGCGGUAAUACGUAGGGGGCAAGCGUUAUCCGGAUUUACUGGGUGUAAGGGAGCGUAGACGGCAGCACAAGUCUGGAGUGAAAUGCCGGGGGUUAACCCCGGAACUGCGUUGGAAACUGUGCAGCUAGAGUGCAGGAGAGGUAAGUGGAAUUCCUAGUGUAGCGGUGAAAUGCGUAGAUAUUAGGAGGAACACCAGUGGCGAAGGCGGCGUACUGGACUGUAACUGACGUUGAGGCUCGAAAGCGUGGGGAGCAAACAGGAUUAGAUACCCCUGUAGUC
rnacentral:rRNA from 1 species